UUUAUGGAGAGUUUGAUCCUGGCUCAGGAUGAACGCUGGCGGCGUGCCUAAUACAUGCAAGUCGAGCGAACGGACGAGAAGCUUGCUUCUCUGAUGUUAGCGGCGGACGGGUGAGUAACACGUGGAUAACCUACCUAUAAGACUGGGAUAACUUCGGGAAACCGGAGCUAAUACCGGAUAAUAUUUUGAACCGCAUGGUUCAAAAGUGAAAGACGGUCUUGCUGUCACUUAUAGAUGGAUCCGCGCUGCAUUAGCUAGUUGGUAA
rnacentral:rRNA from 1 species